AUGGGCCGAGGCUCCCGGAGCGGCCGGUGCAGGAGAGAAGCCACGGAUGCAAGGGCAGAUGUUCAGAGCCUGAGAAAUCCCAAAGCAACUGCCACUCUUGGUCCUUGGGCUUCCAGUAGCUCCUUCCCCUCACCCACUCCUGGGGAGGGCCCCUGGCAGAUGAACCUUCAGCGUGGCAUAGGCAUCCGCACGUGGAGGCUGUGGCCGUGGGGACGGUUUGACGGCCAGAGAUGCCAACGAGCAGAUGUGAUGUCCUGGGGCCAGAGCAGUGCCUCAACCAUUACAUCAAACACCAGAUCUCUCCACUAGAGGGCAACAGCACAGUGUGAAGAGUUUGGGAUCUGAAGGCCUUCCUGUUUGCAUCUCUUUCCUUCCAGGUGAGGUUCUAGAAUGCAAGACAGAGGAAGGAUUCCUUUUGGAUCAUGAUGAUGAAGGAAGGCAACAGCGUGGCGAUAGCAGAAGAGCAAGAUGGAGCCAGUGGCAAUGUAACAAUAUGACAUAUAACAUGAUGGUUCAGAAUUAGGGGUUUUUCUAUGUUUUGUUUUGUUUUGUUAUGGAGGUGGGCCACCUAGGUUCAAAAGUGGGAGAGGAGAGGGCAUAUCUCUUCUCUUUGAAGACAGCCUAGAAAUUAUGCACUAUUUCUUCUCACAUCUCAUUGUCCAGAAAACACUGCUGCUAAGGAUUCACAUGGCCACACUUUUCUGCAAGGCAGGAUUUUUAGCAUUUUUCCCUGAAUGGCCAAAAUUCUGUAGUAUGUAAGAGGGGGAAAAUGGAUAUUGGAGGCUUACUGCCAGUUUUGACCACAAGUCAACCAGCUGAGGUUAAAGAAGCAAUCUGGGUAACAAAUGGGCUGAUUUUUAGUUAGAGCAAUGAAAUGAUUUUUAGUUAGAGCAGGAGACUCCCGAGGUGAUUCAGAUCCAAGACACUAGUUAUUAGGCUUAGCUUCCUUCAUUGUUUGCAGUUUAAUGUGUUACAUCAGGUAGAUUUUUGGAUUUUACAACCUGGAUCCUUCAUCAUCCCUGCCCCAUGUUCUUUUGGAAUCCUCUUAGCCUGGCAUCCUGUUGUUAUGAUUAUGCAGAACUGGUCUGUUAGCAUUAUUUAAAUCUCUUAUUUGUCCACUUAGCAUCUUAUUAUAUGUUAGUAAAGACACAUGGAAAUUUCAUCUCCUAGGGCAUGAACGAUGAAGCCAUCCACGUUGAUGUACAUGGUAGGUAUUUAUCCUUUCUGAUGGCUGAGUAAUAUUCCAUGGUAUAUAUAAUCAUCACUAAAGGCAAGGGAAACAACAGCAGAGAUGAGCUAUUGAGACUUCAUCAAGAUAAAAAGCUCCUGUACAGCAAAGGAAACAGUCAACCAAACUAAAAAGUCACCUACAUAAUGGGAGAAGAUAUUUGCAAAUGACAUAUCAAAUAAAGGGCUAGUAUUCAAGGUCUAUAAAGAAGUU
rnacentral:lncRNA from 12 species